GAAAAAAGCCUGGUUCUUUUAUUAAUAAUAUAAUUUAAGUUGACGGUAAAGACAUUACAAGGCUACUGAACUCAAAUGACUAGACUGCAGAAAAAAGUGUAGGCAAGCAUGGUGUCCACGUGAAACCCACAAAGGCUUAACAUAGCCUCUCCCACCCUCCAAAAUAUAGUAAGAGAUGGAGCAGCAAAUGGUGCGGGAGUGAGUGGGACAAUGGUGGCCGCCAAAUCGAUGGUCGGCUGGUGUUUGACAAAAUGCCCAUGUAAAUCUAAAUGGAAAGUCUCCUCUUUUCCCACGACGCAAUCCAUGAGCAAGUGUGCACCAUAGCAGCGUACACGUCCCUGCAACCACAAAGAAACAGCUUCAACCCCAAAAAAAGAAGGAAAAAGAAGAGUGGAAACAACACGUUUAUGGAGAAACAAAACAUCAAAUUAAUGAAAUUUUC
rnacentral:lncRNA from 1 species